AAAGCCCCCUUCGGGGGGCAAGUAGAGUGGCGCACGGGUGAGUAACACGUAGGUAAUCUACCUUUGGAUGGGGAAUAACAACCGGAAACGGUUGCUAAUACCGCAUAAUGCAGCGGCACCUAGUGGUGACAGUUGUUAAAGCGGGGGAUCGCAAGACCUCGCGUCUGAAGAGGAGCCUGCGGCGGAUUAGCUAGUUGGUAAGGUAACGGCUUACCAAGGCGAUGAUCCGUAGCCGGCCUGAGAGGGCGGUCGGCCACACUGACACUGACAUACGGGUCAGACUCCUACGGGAGGCAGCAGUCGGGAAUUUUGGGCAAUGGGCGAAAGCCUGACCCAGCAACGCCGCGUGAGGGAUGAAAUCCUUCGGGAUGUAAACUUCGCAAGAACGGGAAGAAUAAGUAAGAGUCAACACCUCUUACGAUGACGGUACUGUUUGUAAGCUCCGGCUAACUCCGUGCCAGCAGCCGCGGUAAUACGGGGGGAGCAAGCGUUGUUCGGAUUUACUGGGCGUAAAGGGCGCGUAGGCGGCCACCGCAAGUCGACUGUGAAAUCUCCGGGCUUAACCCGGAAAGGUCAGCCGAUACUGCGGGGCUAGAGUGCAGAAGGGGCAACUGGAAUUCUCGGUGUAGCGGUGAAAUGCGUAGAUAUCGAGAGGAACACCUGCGGCGAAGGCGGGUUGCUGGGCUGACACUGACGCUGAGGCGCGAAAGCUAGGGGAGCGAACGGGAUUAGAUACCCCGGUAGUCCUAGCCUUAAACGAUGAAUGCUUGGUGUCUGGGGUUUUAUAGU
rnacentral:rRNA from 1 species